rnacentral:rRNA from 1 species
AUGAACGCUGGCGGCGUGCCUAAUACAUGCAAGUCGAGCGAACGGACGAGAAGCUUGCUUCUCUGAUGUUAGCGGCGGACGGGUGAGUAACACGUGGAUAACCUACCUAUAAGACUGGGAUAACUUCGGGAAACCGUAGCUAAUACCGGAUAAUAUUUUGAACCGCAUGGUUCAAAAGUGAAAGACGGUCUUGCUGUCACUUAUAGAUGGAUCCGCGCUGCAUUAGCUAGUUGGUAAGGUAACGGCUUACCAAGGCAACGAUGCAUAGCCGACCUGAGAGGGUGAUCGGCCACACUGGAACUGAGACACGGUCCAGACUCCUACGGGAGGCGGCAGUAGGGAAUCUUCCGCAAUGGGCGAAAGCCUGACGGAGCAACGCCGCGUGAGUGAUGAAGGUCUUCGGAUCGUAAAACUCUGUUAUUAGGGAAGAACAUAUGUGUAAGUAACUGUGCACAUCUUGACGGUACCUAAUCAGAAAGCCACGGCUAACUACGUG